rnacentral:rRNA from 1 species
UACGUAGGGCGCAAGCGUUGCCCGGAAUUAUUGGGCGUAAAGAGCUCGUAGGCGGCCUGUCGCGUCUGCUGUGAAAUCCCGGGGCUUAACCCCGGGCGUGCAGUGGAUACGGGCUGGCUGGAGGCAGGCAGGGGAGAACGGAAUUCCCGGUGUAGCGAUGAAAUGCGCAGAUAUCGGGAGGAACACCGGUGGCGAAGGCGGCGACCUGGGUGGAUACUGACGCUGAGGUGCGAAAGCGUGGGGAGCAAACAGG